rnacentral:rRNA from 1 species
UUUGCUCGGACAGUUUGGGCAGCGAUCUUCGUUGCAUUAGGGACACCGAGUUGGAUUCCUACUGCCCAAAACUCGCUGGUGGAGUGGUCCGUCGACAAGCGUGGAUCGAACAACGUCAGCACGAAGGAUCUUCGCACCAUCUUCGCGCUCACCUGGUGGGAGUUGUGGAAGCAUAGAAAUGCCAUUGUCUUCGAGGGCGCGCAUCCUUUGGUUGAGUAGUUACUGAGAAAGGUGUGUUCUGAGGGUUCCAUUUGGUCCUCCGCUGGGUUAUUACGAGGGAAUGUAAUGCCCUUCUUCGCUAGGGUAGAGAGGUGGGUGAGUGAUGAGGAUUAG